rnacentral:rRNA from 1 species
UGAAAUCUCACGGCUUAACUGUGAGCGUGCGGGCGAUACGGGCAGACUUGAGUACUGCAGGGGAGACUGGAAUUCCUGGUGUAGCGGUGGAAUGCGCAGAUAUCAGGAGGAACACCGGUGGCGAAGCCGGGUCUCUGGGCAGUAACUGACGCUGAGGAGCGAAAGCGUGGGGAGCGAACAGGAUUAGAUACCCUGGUAGUCCACGCCGUAAACGGUGGGUACUAGGUGUGGGUUUCCUUCCUUGGGAUCCGUGCCGUAGCUAACGCAUUAAGUACCCCGCCUGGGGAGUACGGCCGCAAGGCUAAAACUCAAAGAAAUUGACGGGGGCCCGCACAAGCGGCGGAGCAUGUGGAUUAAUUCGAUGCAACGCGAAGAACCUUACCUGGGUUUGACAUGCACAGGACGCCGGCGGAGAUGUCGGUUCCCUUGUGGCCUGUGUGCAGGUGGUGCAUGGCUGUCGUCAGCUCGUGUCGUGAGAUGUUGGGUUAAGUCCCGCAACGAGCGCAACCCUCGUCUCAUGUUGCCAGCGGGUAAUGCCGGGGACUCGUGAGAGACUGCCGGGGUCAACUCGGAGGAAGGUGGGGAUGACGUCAAGUCAUCAUGCCCCUUAUGUCCAGGGCUUCACACAUGCUACAAUGGCCGGUACAAAGGGCUGCGAUGCCGCGAGGUUAAGCGAAUCCUUUUAAAGCCGGUCUCAGUUCGGAUCGGGGUCUGCAACUCGACCCCGUGAAGUCGGAG